GGGCGUUUAGCGCAGUGGUAGCGCGUAUGCUUUGCAAAAUCCCCUGGGAUUAGUGUGUAUAAGGUCCAGGGUUCAAUCCCCUGAACGUCCA